rnacentral:lncRNA from 1 species
AAAUUGAAUUUGAUUUUAACCCCCCUCUUCUAUAACAGCAAUACAUUUCCUUAUAGUACAAAUUUAAAUUAAACAACACUUUUAUAUAGACGAUGAUGCAUUUGAAGAUACGAAAAAUAAUUAAACAUGCAUGAAGAUACCCUCAAAAUAAGAGUACAACCAUCUUAUUCUUCUUUAUAAGUAUGCAUUUAUAAGAGAUACUUAUAUUAAAUGGGUAAAAAUAUAUGAAAACAACCCGGAUUUAAAACUAUUUAUCAAUACUAAUUUCUUUUUAAACAUAUUAUUAAUAAUUAUUGACUUUUUUAAUGCAUAGGAAAAAUAUUAGAAUGGUUUUGAAGCACGUUUUUGUAUGUGAACAUUUUCAAAAAAAGAGCAAACUAUGUACAUUUGCAAUUUAUUUUUCCAAUUCAUAAAUUUGGAAUGUAUGUAAGAAAAACAGUCCAAUGUUUUACUAAUAUUAUUUCGGUCCAUACUUUUUUUAAUUAUUUUUUAUUCUUAACUAAAAUAGGCAAACAUACUUAUUUUCAAUAAAUAAGCAAAUAAGUCCAUCUAAAUAAUAAAAUUAAAUUGAAUGAUAUUGAAAGGAUUUUUACAAAUUCAUUUAUAUAUUUUCACUGAUAAGCUUCUAAAAGUGUAUUAAAUGAAGAAAAUUUAGGUUAUUAAAAAGUAAACUUUUAUAUAUAUAUUACAGUAAUAUGAUUACAGUUACUGGGUCCGGUAACGCGCGUUACAAUCCUAGCUGUCUUACAGGUGAGGUGUUUUCGAAAAAACAACACAGGCGCAACAGCCGUUAAUAAAGAGGAGAAGAAGACGGUUUUAAAUCAACACAAGAAGAAGUCGAUAUGGUUUGGAGAUUUCAAGAUGGCAACAACGAAGGAUAAGUCAACAUUUUCUAUGUGAUUAUACUUGCACUAUUUUUAAUUUAUCAGAGAAAUUGACAAGAACUUCACACUCAGGGGCACUUUAUGUGCUGGGGGGAAGCCUGGUAAUAAGUAAAUCAUUACUUAUUACUCUACACAGAAGAGGACUUGAACUGGACCUGAUGAAAAUAUUUUAUGGCUCGAACUUAACUCGAUGAAUAUUCUCCAUGGCUUAGAUUUGUGAGGAAAAACUUGACUGUUGAUUUACAGUAUAAGAAAUUUUCCUUACUUCUGAUGAAUAAUUAUUAGAAACUGGUACUCGGCUUCACAAUAGUUAAUUAGAGUUCAUCCAAUCAACGUUGAGAAUACCAAUAGGAGGCUGAAAAAUAGAAAAUUGGACGGUUGAAAAAAAUAAAAGGGAUUUUUUAUUUAUUUUUGGAAUAUGACACGUCAUGUAUGAGAAGUGUCAUUGGGCUACAGCCCAAAUAAUAAAUUAAUCCAGGCCAACAAAAAUUAUAUUAAAAUUAUAAAAUGAUACAA